rnacentral:misc_RNA from 1 species
GCCUUAUCACUAAUAUAAAUUUAUGAAAUUUAUUUACUAUUGUAUCUCUAACAUCUUAAAGCAGACACCCAUGGCAACGAUUGCGCUUGGAGUGGAGGAUGAGGAAGAAGUUCGAGCAGUAGGUGCAUGCAAUAGCUCUAGUGCCACACCAAGACCACCACUGGUUUCCAAUGGCUCCUUCAUCGACGUGUAUAGUUUGAGAAUAAAAUUGGUGCUAAUUUGAAGUGUAUAGUUUCGAAAUCAUCAUCGACGCCAGUAGUGGAUUUGAGUUCUCUUGAGGCAUGAGUAGAGAUUAGAAAGAAGGCAUAUCAAGGCGUGGGCAAAACCUUCAUCUUAAUGUGAGUCUUAUUGGUCCAAUUUAGUAGUACAGAAGUAAGAGAAACAAAAAAAAAAAUGGAAAGGAGAAGUGGAAAAAAUAUCAAGGGAUUAAGGGAAGGAUUGAUUUUGGUUUAUGAUUAAAUUCAAGUUGUGAACUACCGGGUUGUGCUUUUGGGAUGUAAUUGCAUUGAUUUUGUUAUUGUUUUUGAGGUUUUACAUUAGGGUACAUUGAAUUCAAGUGGUUUGAGUUUGGAGAAAGUAAGGGAAUGGGUCUAUGAGAGAGAUAAGGGGGAAACAGGUUUGUUAUGGUGCCAUGGUUUCGAGCAGAGAGGAGAGAGCUGAAGGGAGGUAGAGGCAGACAGAAGAGAAGGGAGUGAUUGU